CCUACGGGGGACUGCAGUGAGGAAUAUUGGUCAAUGGGCGCGCGCCUGAACCAGCCAAGUAGCGUGAAGGAUGACUGCCCUACGGGUUGUAAACUUCUUUUAUAAAGGAAUAAAGUGCGGCACGUGUGCCUUUUUGUAUGUACUUUCUGUAUAAGGAUCGGCUAACGCAGUGCCAGCAGCCGCGGUAAUACGGAGGAUCCGAGCGUUAUCCGGAUUUAUUGGGUUUAAAGGGAGCGUAGAUGGGUUGUUAAGUCAGUUGUGAAAGUUUGCGGCUCAACCGUAAAAUUGCAAUUUAUACUGGCAGCGUCGAGUACAGUUGAGGUAGGCGGAAUUCGGGGUGUAGCGGUGAAAUGCUUAGAUAUCACGAAGAACUCCGAUUGCGAAGGCAGCUUACUAAACUGCCACUGACAUUGAUGCUCGAAAGUGUGGGUAUCAAACAGGAUUAGAUACCCUUGUAGUC
rnacentral:rRNA from 1 species